AAGCUCGGCCCCGCCGAGGGGACCCGAGCGUUUGCCCCCGAGGGGGAGCGGGAGGUCGGGUAUCACCACCCCGGUACCGGGGGUUCCCUCGGGGGAACACGAACCUGCUGUGGAAGGGACCCUGGGGAUCUUGAGCGUUGCCCGGGAGGGGACCCAAGCCUCCCCGGGGAAUACACCCACCCCAACGUACGCAGGGAGAGGAGCCGAGCACCCUCCGGGGACGGGACGUGGGCAUCUCCCGUGGAAGGGACAUCUCCCGUGGCAUCCCUGGAGAGGGGACUCCAAGCACCCCCUGCACCCAGCCCAGUAUCCCCAACCCCGGCUCUGCCGUGGGCAUAUUAAGCCGGUAAUUAGGAGUCGGGUUGAGGCAGGAGCAGAAUUAGGGCCAAAUCCUGUUCCCAUCAAAGCCCCCACUGACGUCCUGACAGCCGGAUCAAAGGUGACCCAGGACGGGAAUAGCAGCAGCAGCGGCGGCACCAUAAAUUAGCAGCAAAGCAUCUCCGAGCCGCUCCUUCUUCAGAAGUGCCAUCUGGUGAGAUUGUUUUCGGAGUAGUUAUUUAUUCCUCACUUUUAAGUGUCUAUAGGCAUUUUUUGGGAUGACCUGCGAGGCCGGCUCUGCCCCCGCAGUCUCUACGAGGCUCCAGGAGAGAACAGCCGCUUGUUCCCAAACCUAAAUAAAGAGCAGCUCUGCUGCGAAUACUCUGACGCUCAUUUCUGAAAUCUGUUUGCAGCUCAACAGAUCGUGCUGGGUAAUUACAUUAUGCGAGUGCGCGGUACCAGCAGUGGGAAUCCAAUGCGCUGCUCUCCUCAUGGAAAAAACCAGCCUGGCUUUCGGCAGAGCCGGGGCUGGAAAACCCUCGGCUUUGGGCUCGCUCUCGUGCUCUUAUCCGUACCAUGGGAAAUUCGGAGAGCGUUUCCACCCGGCAGCUCGCUCCUGCUUGUGUCGUGCUGAGUCCCCGCAAAGCCACCCAUGCCAAAUGUCACUGCGGCCGAGGGCACGGGCAGCAUCGCGGCUGAGCAGGGACCACCACCCCAGCCAGAAAUGUCUUUUUUUCCCCAAAAUUCACUCUGGAAACACCCCUCCCGCAGAUAACACAGGGGGACAGCCAGGCAGGGGCCAGGCGCGUGGCAGAGCUGCCGUUCGGCUCAUUUAGUCCAACUCGUAAAAUAUUUUAGGGGUCGGGAAGGGCGCGAGCGGGACACGGCCCCGUCGCUUGAGGACGAGUCAGUCCUGCUGAGCGUGUCCUGCACGGCCCCUGCCCCAUCGCUUGCACCCUCCCGGCCUCGUUUAAUACAAAAAUACGGUAACACAGCGCCUGCCUUGCCGCAGAGGCUAAAUAAAGCAGCAGGAAGAGCUCUUGAAUACCAGCAAGGCGAUAUAUAAACAUGUACGUGGAUGGCACGUAUGCUAAUGCUGUUAUAUAGCCUAAGAGAAAUGCUGUGUCUCGUAUCGACGUGAGAUGCUUUCAUGGCCGGAGGAGAGUCGCCCGGAAAAGCCACGCUCGCCAUGAGCCGCCCCAGGGUCCGACGUUGGGAGAGCUCGGAAAGAUGGACGUUAGCCAGUGUCCGGUCUGCCUCUCCUCUUUGUGAAAGGAAAAGCCCAAAGAUUCCGGUGACAUUUCUCUUUAACAAUUCUGGAAUUAAUCUUGCUCGAAGUCCCAAGAAGCGGAAACACAGAUGGAAAAUGUAAUAAAUGGAACUGGUUUGGGUUUUUUUUUUUUUUUUUUUUGGACAAGGUUUAACUGAGCUAAUUGCAUUGCUAGGCGUAUCUCAAAAAAAAAAAAAAAGGUGUUGUGGUUAUGACUGAAAAUACCAUUCACAUAAAAUAUACAGAUUUUUCUCGCA